CUACGUGCCAGCAGCCGCGGUAAUACGUAGGGUGCGAGCGUUAAUCGGAAUUACUGGGCGUAAAGCGGGCGCAGACGGUUACUUAAGCAGGAUGUGAAAUCCCCGGGCUCAACCUGGGAACUGCGUUCUGAACUGGGUGACUAGAGUGUGUCAGAGGGAGGUAGAAUCCCACGUGUAGCAGUGAAAUGCGUAGAGAUGUGGAGGAAUACCGAUGGCGAAGGCAGCCUCCUGGGAUAACACUGACGUUCAUGCCCGAAAGCGUGGGUAGCAAACAGGAUUAGAUACCCUGGUAGUCCACGCCCUAAACGAUGUCGAUUAGCUGUUGGGCAGCAUGACUGCUUAGUAGCGAAGCUAACGCGUGAAAUCGACCGCCUGGGGAGUACGGUCGCAAGAUUAAAACUCAAAGGAAUUGACGGGGACCCGCACAAGCGGUGGAUGAUGUGGAUUAAUUCGAUGCAACGCGAAGAACCUUACCUGGUCUUGACAU
rnacentral:rRNA from 1 species